rnacentral:misc_RNA from 1 species
AACGCACAUUGCGCCCGCCAGCACUCUGGCGGGGCAUGCCUGUUCGAGCGUCAUUUCAACCCUCGAGCCCCCCCGGGGGCCCGGCGUUGGGGGCCGGCCCCGGCCGCCCCCGAAAUGCAGUGGCGACCUCGCCGCAGCCUCCCCUGCGUAGUAGCACACACCUCGCACCGGAGCGCGGAGACGGUCACGCCGUAAAACGCACCAGCUUUCAAGAGUUGACCUCGGAUCAGGUAGGAAUACCCGCUGAACUUAA